GUUCUCUUUCAUUUUAUUACUGUUUAAUACUUGGUAAAAUUACACCUCCGAUGAUUAUGUAUUAUUUAGAGAGUAAGUGUAAUGCAGAGAUGUACUUAAUGAAUAUUUUUUUUUUUUUUUUUUGGCAGACGUCAGAUGAGGCGACGUACUUAUCACACGUCAGUUGAGGCGACGUGCUUAUCACGCGUCAGUUGAGGAGGCGUGCUUAUCACGCGUCAGUUGAGGCGGCUACCCUUCUCUCACGUAAAAGAACACGACUUUCGACUUCGGCAGAUGUGGAUGAGGAGGUUGAUGUUUAUGGGUUUAUACCACUGGCAUUGUCCCAUGACCACUGUGAUGGACUACUGGACGUAAUAGACACACAACUGAGUCAUCUACAGAUCCACAGCCAAAGCCGGAUGCAUGGAGCAAAUGCCAAGAGAUAUGAAUUUCCUUUCUUGGGCUAUUUUGAUCGGAGUCAGUUCUAGUAAAGACACAGGCUUGGGGAGCACUGUUCCAACCAAUGAUAAAACACCAUCCAACCUUGACAAGUGGCAGCAGAGCACUGCAGAAGAUUGCUCCAGCCCAGGUCAGCUAUAGGACAGAAGAUCACUUACCAGCAAAGACCAUCUCCAGUUAACAUCCCUCCUAAAUUGUUGAUUUUAUAGGAAAAUAAUUAUUAAAGGGAUAAUUCACCCAAAAAAUUGUCAUUAAUUACUCGUCUCAUGUUAUUCCAAACUCAUAAAACCUUUGUUCAUCUUUAGAACACAAACUAAGAUAUUUUUGAUGAAAUCCGAGAGCUUUCUGACCCUUCAUAGAAAGCAAGGGUACUACCAUGAUCAUUGCCCAGAAAGGUAGUAAGGUCAUUUUUCAAAUAGUCCAUGUGACAUCAGUGGUUCAACCGUAAUUUUAGGAAGCUACAAGAAUACUUUUUAUGCACAAGGAAAACAAUUCUCUUCCAUUUCAUGCUCUGCCGCACGAUCAUGAGAGUUACCACGAUGCAUGUAAGGUCUUACGGGUUUGGAACAUUAGGGUGAGUAAUUAAUGAUAGAAUUUUUAUUUUUGUGUGAACUAUCCCUUUCAUACUACCUCUGCGAAGCUCAGAAGCAGUGAACUUUGAUACAAAAUUAAUUAUUCUUGAUCUUAGAAUUGUGAUUGAGUUUACUGUGAAAUAAUGAACAGAUGUAGUGUGUAGCUAACAGUAUUUACAAAUGGUAAUUUAACUGUUAAUUGUUUUCUUAUGUGUUUUUUUUUUACGAAUUAUUAUUGUAAUUGGACAACAUAACUCAAAGCAGACAAUUCAUGAUUUUGAAUGAAUGUUUUUUUCUGCAUAAAGAAAAACAAGCAGAGAAGUAUAAUUCCAAACUGAUUUUAUUUAAAAACAAAUCUGUCAGUGUGGGAUAUAGUCAAUAUUUAAAAAAUGUUAUAUUUUGACAUUUGGCAAAAUGUAUAAAUUGCAAAAAGGUCAAACAAAAUGUUUAAACAAUCAUUCUAGGCCAAUGUUUAAACCACAGGCAAAAUGGAUUUGCAGCUUAUUUUACUGUUGUUUAAUAAUUGCAGCCAGUUCUUCAGCUGAAAAACAGAACCAGGUUAUAUGAACAACUGAAAUCAAUAGGUUUUAAUUUGUAUACCCAUGCAUCUCCAACAACAAUCAUAUUUCUGUUGUGUAGAUAGUUAAACCGUUUAUAAAGAUUAAUGAUGCUGUCUCUGUCUGUCCUCUGUACUCUGUCAAGUACACAUUAAUUUAAUCAAAGCCAUCAAUCGUCACUUUCCAGAAUCUAAGGAAUCUAAAAAAAUAAAUAAAAAAAAAAUAAAAA